rnacentral:rRNA from 1 species
ACCACUUUAAUAUGAUAGCUAAAGUAAGCAUAAAGUAUAUUUAAAUAUGGGAUCUGUACUGAAAUUUAGUUGCCAGUUUAAAAUUUUAAAUAUGUAUGAAAAUAUAAUUUAGAUAACUUUUUAAUUUUGGUUAAUUAGGUGCCAGCAACCGCGGUCAUACCUAAAAAAUAAGCUUACUAUUUAAAGUAAUUAAAAUCAUUUAGAAAUAUUAAAAUAUGUGGUGAAAUAUUAUUUUAUAUUAAUUCUAAUAUAAUUAUCUACUAAUAAACCCAACAAAUAAAACUAGGAUUAGAGACCCUACUAUUGUGGGGCUAAUAUUUAAUUACUAAGGAGUAAUACUGAAUUUUAAACUUAAAUAUUAUGGCGGCCAAGCAAAACAAUUAGGGGAACUUACCAUAUAAUUGAUAGCCACCAAGCUUUAAGCCACUUACUUUAAUAAUUUGUAUACCGUUGUCUUCAUAAGUCUCCCAAAGAGGCUUAAGUACAUAACUAUUAUCAUAAGACAAAUCAAGGUGCAGUCUAUAGGUAAGAAUAUAAGGUGAGUUACAAUAAAAAAUUACUUCGGAAGUGAAUUAUGAAAUAAAUCAAUAAGGUGGACUUGAAAGUACUAUUUAAACUAUAUACAUAUUAUAGGAAUAUGUAUUGCUUGGUGUA